UGACUUCAUUCAACCAGGGUUGUUGUGCUAUUUGGCAACAAUCUUUCCGAUGAAAGAUUGGCCAAUAGCAAACCCAUAACGAUCCCGGGACGAAACCAUGAUGACCAUCUUGUCACUGCAAGAUGCAAUCAGCUCCACAGGUGGAGCGAGAUGAGGGAAAUUGUUUUGACCCCUCGCCUCCCGCUCCGAUCCUGCCCGUAAUAAAUCAGGUGUUCAUCCUUUCGGUGGUGAUUGCACCAAGUGACUGGGGGCAAAAAGUAAUCCCGCACAGCACCGAGAAGUGGACAAUCUGCCGUAGGUAACAAAAUAGAAAAGAUUGAGAAAUAAAUUAUUGAAUUUUUA